rnacentral:rRNA from 1 species
GAUUUAUACCUAUUCGAAGGGAUGGGUCGUUCGGCCGGAUUUUACACAGGUGUUGCAUGGCUGUCGUCAGCUCGUGUCGUGAGUGUUGGGUUAAGUCCCGCAACGAGCGCAACCCUCAUCCUUAGUUGCCAUCAGGUAAUGCUAGCAUUAAGGAAACUGCCAGUGAUAAGCUGGAGGAAGAUGGGGAUGAUGUCAAGUCAUCAUGCCUUAUGAAGUGGGCUACACACGUGCUACAAUGGUGUCUACAGUGGGCUGCAAGGUGCGAACUAAGCUAAUCCCUAAAAGACAUCUCAGUUCGGAUUGUACUCUGCAACUCGAGUGCAGAGUUGGAAUCGCUAGUAAUCGUGGAUCAGCAUGCCACGGUGAAUACGUUCCCGGGUCUUACACACUGCCCGUC